AGGGACACUCAACCACUGAGCCACAUCCCCAGCUCUUUUUUGUAUUUUAAUUACAGACAGGGUCUCACUUGAAUUAUUUAGCACCUUGCUGUUGCUGAGGCUGGCUUUGAACUCAGAAUCCUCCUGUCUCAACCUUCCAAGGUGCAGGGAUUAGAGGUACAGGCAUGCGCCACUGUGAGUGGCUGAAAACUUUUGUAAUACAAAGUUUUGAAUCCUUUUUGACCAUGAUCCAAGAAAGAAAUACUUCUUUUGAACUACACAACUUCUAGAAGAAAAUGUAGGAUUGAUACUCCAGUAUAUCGGCAGGGGCAACAGCUUUUUCCGUAGGACCUCUAAAACUCAGGAAAUAAUGCUAACAGUAAAUGGUUGACAUCAAGUUAAAAAUCUUCUGCAUAGCAAAGGCAACAAUUAGGAAUGUGAAGAGAAGCUACCAAAUGGGAGAAGAUUUUGCUAGCAAUUCUUCAGAUGGAGGAUUGAUAUCUAGAAUAUAUAAAGUACUCAAAAAACUUUAUACCAGAAAAUCAAAUAACCCAAUUAAUAUGUGCAAAUUAAUUCAGCAGACUCUUGUCAAAAAAAGAAAUACAAAUGGCCAACAAAUACAUGAAAAAAUGUUCAGGAUCAUUAGCAAUUAGGGAAAUGCAAAUCAAAACUAUACUGAGGUUUUAUCUCACACUAGUCAGAAGCAUUCAUCAGGAAUACAAAUAAUAAAUGCUGGAGAGGAUUGGAGAAAAAGGAACGCUUUUAGGUGAAACUGUAAUUUAGUACAACCACUGUGAAGUCAGUGUGGAGGUUCCUCAAAAGACUAGGUAUGGAACCUCCAUAUGACCUAGCUAUACCACUCCUUGGAAUUUAUCCUUAAAAAUUAAAUUCGUUGGGGGCUGGGGUUGUGAUAGAGCACUUGCUAGAAAGUGCAAGGCCCUAGGUUUGAUCAUCAGCACCACAUAAAAAUAAAUAAAUAAAGGUAUUGUGU
rnacentral:lncRNA from 1 species